ACGGAGGGAGCUAGCGUUGUUCGGAAUUACUGGGCGUAAAGCGCACGUAGGCGGCGAUUCAAGUCAGAGGUGAAAGCCCGGGGCUCAACCCCGGAACUGCCUUUGAAACUAGAUUGCUAGAAUCCUGGAGAGGUUAGUGGAAUUCCGAGUGUAGAGGUGAAAUUCGUAGAUAUUCGGAAGAACACCAGUGGCGAAGGCGACUAACUGGACAGGUAUUGACGCUGAGGUGCGAAAGCGUGGGGAGCAAACAGGA
rnacentral:rRNA from 1 species